rnacentral:sRNA from 1 species
CGCGCUGUCAUUGGGGAGUAGCCGCUGCACCCCGCCCGUCGCCCGACGGGCUUACUCAGCAGACCCGCGUCAACAGACUUGAGCUUGUGCUCAUGGCGCGAGGUAGCCAGGAACCGUCGUGUUCCCAGCCUGGC